GGCUCUCCAACCACACUACCCCCUAAACCCGAAGCCCUGGGUUUUGGAGGUGGAAGAGAGAGAGCAGGGCCAGAAAGGCCCCUGUGAGGAAACUCCGCCCCCAAUUCUCAGGCACUUUCCCCUCUAAGCCAGCACAGGUCGGUUUACAAUCUUUCUGGACAUCUGUUUCUUCACAUGUGAAGUGAAGGCCAUGAAUUAGGUCAAGUGAAAUGCCAGAAUCCAAACAAAGUCAACGGAAGGAAAUGGCUGAAGCUGCCCACAUUACUCAGAGAGCCAUCCCAUCCAUCCAGGACUAUGAAGAGGGUUUAAAGAAAUAAGGUCCGA